UACGUAGGGUCCGAGCGUUGUCCGGAAUUACUGGGCGUAAAGAGCUCGUAGGUGGUUUGUCGCGUUGUUCGUGAAAACUCACAGCUCAACUGUGGGCGUGCGGGCGAUACGGGGCAGACUAGAGUACUGCAGGGGAGACUGGAAUUCCUGGUGUAGCGGUGGAAUGCGCAGAUAUCAGGAGGAACACCGGUGGCGAAGGCGGGUCUCUGGGCAACAACUGACGCUGGAGGAGCGAAAGCGUGGGGAGCGAACAGG
rnacentral:rRNA from 1 species